AUUGCACUUUUUUAUUUUUUGGCAGCAUUCAUGGUGCUUUUGUUUGACCUAAAGGCACUGGUAGAUUUGAGCUCAGUCGGGACCAUUUUUGCAUAUUCUUUGGUUGCAGUCUGCGUUCUUUUAUUAAGGUACAAAGAACAAUCAAAUGUUGGUGAACGUCCAGAACCCUUCACAUUAUUGGGACUACUCAGGCCUCCACAUAGACCUACUCACCGCACCUCUAUAAAUGUGAACAUAAUCACUAUCAUUACUUUGGUUCUGGUGAUUGCUCUAAGUGUGCUGCUCAGCAAGGCCUCGGACGCCCUUUACAGACAAGAGCUCUGGAGUUUGUUGCUUGUCUCGAUCCUUCUGCUCAUGCUUGUCUUUAAUGUCAGUAUUAUCUGGCGACAUCCACAGAGCACUCCUGAAGCUUCUUUCAAGGUAACUGAUCAAAUUAUUAAUGGGGGCCACUCAUUGUAUAAUCUUUGACAAUCCAGUUAAUAGACAAUUUCAGAAUGAAAUUACUGAAUGAGGAACUUUGUGAAAAAGACAUGAAAUACACAUAGUACUAUCUUAAUUUACAUGUCCAUCUAAUGUGUCUGCCUUUAAGUGGCAUGGGAAGAGAUGAUGCCAUAGGAAAAAAAGAGUUGCCCUUGACUCUAAGCAUUUCACACUGUAUUCAAAUUCAAAACCAGUGAAUCCAGACAGAUUAAUAAAAAAAACAUUUCUGGACAUAACUGUUGUCAAGGGGUGUUUGCAACUGUUGUGUGCAUGAGAAUGGUGCCUUGCAAAAGUAUUCACCCCCUUGGCAUUUUUAUGUGUUGCUUCACAACCUUGAAUUAAAAUGGAUUGAGAGUUUGCACCAUUAAACUUGUGUAAACUGUCUACAGAGAAUGUAUAAGUCUCCAUUCGUCAAAUCACUAAGCCCAACACCUUAGCCCCCUCCAACUUGUGGUACAUGUACAGUAUUUAAAAAUAAUACAACUAUUGUCAUCUAAUUAUUCUAUAACAGAAUCAGAAUAUCUUUCAAGCCAUUAUUAAUGUUGAUGAUGUAACCAUACCGUAUAAUCGAAACAUUUAAACUAUUACUUUUAAAUGCUGCACCAUAUGAAUAUCUUUGUCUUAUGAGUAACUCAUAGUAGCUUAGCAACCAUUUUUUUAGACUAUCUCGUAUUCAAUUUGAAA